rnacentral:misc_RNA from 1 species
GAAAACCUCUCUAAAGGAAAUCACGAUAAUUGGGCUAAUGGGAAGAAGAAAUGAGGUGCAGCUGAUCAUGUUCUUGCUGAAGAAAGCAAUUGUCCUUGAAAAGGUGUCAUUCUCCCUCUGUGGACCAGACAAGCACCUGUCCUACAGCCCAAAUGAAUUCAUAUACUUCCGACAGAAUAUAAGUCAGAUGUUUGACUUCAUAAGGGGAUCCAUCCAAGCUGAAGUAAAAGUUGAUGUGGAACGCUAUCCCAAUGAUGUCUACAUCCUUAAUUAAGUUUCCUAAAUUCCGAGUUCUCAAGCCUAUUAAUGUAAAGAGUGUGGUGUCGCCUUUCCUUUCAGCUUCUUUCUUUUUCUUUUUUACUCUCUUCAUUUCCCCUUUGGGUACAUGCAAGUUUGUAGUAAGUGUGGAAUGCCAGACAUAUAAGACAAUAGAACAGUAUGGUUUUGUGCAAAAUGAACUUAUUUUGAACUUCUUU